GAUACUGACAUCCCAAAAGGUUGAAUCUGAUCAUUUGGAGUCAGUCUCAUUACUGAAAAUCAACUGUGAAGCGCAGCACAAGCGUGCCAGCGUGUAAAGCCUACAGCCGCACUAACUUCAACCACACAAUGAAUGAAAACAUGGAAAAGUUGAUUCUAUGCCUAUCCAAGUGCAAGCAAAUUCAUGACACUAGUUUAUGGCAUAGAAGUUCAAGGUAUACAGGGACCUCUGUAGGAAAGCAGUGCUGUGGUAACAUAUUUCAAGUGAACUGGGCAUGUCAUGUUUUUUAAAUAGUGAAAUAAAUUGUUGUAUUUAGAUAGGUAUAUGUGUAGUUUCUGUUUAUUCAAUGGAUACCUUGGUUGUUAUCUGAAAUAAUAUUAA